UUUCCGUAGGUGAACCUGCGGAAGGAUCAUUACAGUGUUCUGGAGGCCGGUCCGUCCCGCUCCCCUUCGGGGGCCCGGUGGGGUCCGCGCCCCCUCCACACGUGUCUACCACACCCUGUUGCCUUGGUGGGUCUGCCCCUGUGGCUGCCGGGGAUCGCCGCUGGCGUCCCGGGCCCGUAUCCACCGAUGGACACCCUGAACCCUCUGUGAAUCUAGUAUGUCUGAGCGUUAAAGCAAAUGAAACAAAACUUUCAACAAUGGAUCUCUUGGUUCUG
rnacentral:misc_RNA from 1 species